AAGCUAGGAAGACUCCUGGAAGAACACCAGGUUGAUAGGUCAGAGAUGUAAGCAUGGCAACAUGUUAAGUUGACUGAUACUAAUAAGUCGAGGGCUUGACCAA
rnacentral:rRNA from 1 species